UGUUUUGAUUUGUUGACUCAAACUUAAGUGGCAUAACUUGACCAGUGUGUGUUAAAAAAUACGAUAAAAGCUUCAUGACAAUAUGAAAUAAAACUUCAUACAAUUUCAAAAUUACCGUUUUUGAAACACGGAAUGUUAAAAAUGUUAUAUUUCAUUUUAAAUUUUUUGAUAUUGCCUAAACAGUUUUAGAACUUAAUGGAACUUUUGCAGACAGAUUUCCGAUGGUUGGGACGUAAUGACUGGUAAUUCAAAUUUUUUCCCAGGUUUAGUGGAGUGGAAGAAUUUAUUCCCUAGCUUCUACGCAACUGAGGAAAACGGCGAUUUGAAAGCAUUGAUUUAUUUCAGACUUUCUUUUGUUGAGUAGUAAAAUUCAAGAAAUAAGCUCUUAAUAAUUAUAAUUUCUAAAUCGUCUUCUUUUUAAAAGAGAUCAACUUUUUUUCCGAAACGACUCAUACUAGAGCUUUUGACUAACAAUAAUUUUUGGGUAAAAAACAUUGGCCUUUCGAAAUAAUCUAUUUACAAAUGCCCUUUUCUCCAGUUGUCUAUCUAAAAUAGUUUAUUAAAUAUAUAAAAACUAAAAAAAAUAAACUUAACAUCUUUAACACCCUGUAUUUUUGAACGUACUACACGCUGAUGAAGUGAUGACACUGAAGAUUGCGUCACAAUGUUUAAUAUAAGCAAUUUUAAUUUUAUAUAAAAGAGCAUAACGCCCCCAGUCGGCCUUUCUGCGUUUUUGCCCUUGCGCAUAAAUGUGUAUAUGUUGAAGUUAUAAAAAAGUUUUCCAUUUUAGUUCGUUAGUACGAUUGUGCUUGUAAGUAUUCGAGUAGAGCUGUUGUUGUUUGGAAAAGAAAACGCCAGUCUGGUUGCCUUGCAAAGCAAAGAUGGUGCAAUAUGGUCCGGUUAUGGAACUUCUUAAUCUUUUUUGUUUGCAGUUUUUCCAGUUAUUAUUGCCAUGUUUUUUGUUGGAUUGUGUAGUUUAUUUUGAGCUUUGUAUUGUGACUAAUAGGCGAUUUCUCCCAACUCAAAUACUCGAAGUCAAAACGCUCAAUUCGGCAAAUAUAGGAAGGGAUCAUAACCUUUUACUCGGAAGAAUUAAAUUGAAAAUACGAAUACCAAAACAACCAAGACCGGUGAUAUCAACUCAGAAACUCAAUAUUGAGCUGCUAUGGGACCCUAUGAUAAACUUGGGAAAGAAUCAAGAAUAAGAUCAAGAAUUCAGCAAGGGAGGCACUUGAAGAACGAACGAUAAAAGUGACCAGAAGUCAAAGAACAGUGCAAAUAAAAAAGAAAAGCCUACUUAAAAUAUUGUACUAUGCGAACACGAGAAUCAUUUAAUGAAUAUAAGCAAGUUAGGAACAAAACUAAAAAAUUAAUGAAAAAAAUAAAAAACGAUCACUGAAAAAUGUUCUCCAAACUCUGGAAGGUUAUUUCUACGGGCUUUAAAAGCAGAUAUGGCGAUUCAUAAGAUCGCACAGAAUGGAGGUCAAUAAACUACUAGAACCAACCCACAUAAAAAAGGAAGAGUGGAUCAGAUAUUUAACCGAUCUGUGUAUAAAACGACCCAGACCACCCCAGAAAUAACAAUUAACGAAGAUGCCACGAUCUCCAUAUCCGACAUAGAAAAUGCACUACAGAAACUAAAAAAUAGAAAAAGCGCCGGGCAAGACGGUAUACAAAAUUAAUUGCUCAAAUAAGGUGGGCAAAAACCAAUAGAAGAAUUAACAACUUUAAUACAGAAAUUAUAUAUCAACACAAAAUCCCAGAUGAAUGAUGUACCAGCACUACUGUGCUAAUGUUCAAACAAGGGGACAAGAGAAUACCAUCAAAUUAUAGAGGAAUAAACCUUUUAAGCACUGCUCUAAAAGUAACAACUAAAGUAAUUACGAACAAAAUCAGCAAUCUUAUAUCAUUGGCUGACGAACAACAGAGAUUCAGAUCGGGAAGAUCUUGCACAUACUCCGUGUUUGUAUUAAGGCAAAUAGUCGAUAAGUCGAUUGAAUACAACAAGCCAGUGUUUAUUUGUUUUGUGGAUCUCACUAGGGCAUUUGACCGUGUCCAGCUGGAAGACGUCCUGCAUCUCCUUUACAACAGGCAAAUCCCACACCAUCCCAUUAAAACAAUAGAUAACAUAAAAUAUAUAAUAUACAAACCAUAAAAUACGAGCACAAAUAGAAGGAGACCUCACAGAACCAAUACUAGCAGGUAGCAGUAUUCGUCAGGGACACUCACUGAGUCCUAAACUCAUCAAUUUAAUAAAAGAAGACAUUGUUUGAAGUGUUCGAGGGCUGAAGGGAUACAAAAUGGGGGAUGCAGAAAUCAAAAUAGUGUGUUAUGCUGACGAUGCCGCUCUCAUUGCAGAAAAUGAAUAUGACUUACAAAGGUUAUUACACUUAUUCAACCUGACAGCCAAGUCUCUAAAUAUGGAAAUAUCACCGACCAAAACAAAGUGCUU